UUGAACGCUGGCGGCAUGCCUUACACAUGCAAGUCGAACGGCAGCACGGGGGCAACCCUGGUGGCGAGUGGCGAACGGGUGAGUAAUACAUCGGAACGUGCCCUGAAGUGGGGGAUAACGUAGCGAAAGUUACGCUAAUACCGCAUAUUCUGUGAGCAGGAAAGCAGGGGAUCGCAAGACCUUGCGCUUUAGGAGCGGCCGAUGUCGGAUUAGCUAGUUGGUGAGGUAAAGGCUCACCAAGGCGACGAUCCGUAGCGGGUCUGAGAGGACGACCAGCCACACUGGAACUGAGACACGGUCCAGACUCCUACGGGAGGCAGCAGUGGGGAAUUUUGGACGAUGGGGGCAACCCUGAUCCAGCCAUUCCGCGUGAGUGAAGAAGGCCUUCGGGUUGUAAAGCUCUUUCGGCAGGAACGAAACGGUGGUCCUUAAUACGGGCUACUAAUGACGGUACCUGAAGAAGAAGCACCGGCUAACUACGU
rnacentral:rRNA from 1 species